rnacentral:rRNA from 1 species
CCUACGGGUGGCAGCAGUGGGGAAUAUUGGACAAUGGGGGCAACCCUGAUCCAGCCAUGCCGCGUGUGUGAAGAAGGCCCUCGGGUUGUAAAGCACUUUCAGUGAGGAAGAACGCCUGGUGGUUAAUACCCAUCAGGAAAGACAUCACUCACAGAAGAAGCACCGGCUAACUCCGUGCCAGCAGCCGCGGUAAUACGGAGGGUGCGAGCGUUAAUCGGAAUUACUGGGCGUAAAGCGCGCGUAGGUGGCUUGAUAAGCCGGUUGUGAAAGUCCCGGGCUCAACCUGGGAACGGCAUCCGGAACUGUCAAGCUAGAGUGCAGGAGAGGAAGGUAGAAUUCCCGGUGUAGCGGUGAAAUGCGUAGAGAUCGGGAGGAAUACCAGUGGCGAAGGCGGCCUUCUGGACUGACACUGACACUGAGGUGCGAAAGCGUGGGUAGCAAACAGGAUUAGAUACCCGUGUAGUC